rnacentral:rRNA from 1 species
GACGAACGCUGGCGGCGUGCCUAAUACAUGCAAGUAGAACGCUGAAGGAGGAGCUUGCUUCUCUGGAUGAGUUGCGAACGGGUGAGUAACGCGUAGGUAACCUGCCUGGUAGCGGGGGAUAACUAUUGGAAACGAUAGCUAAUACCGCAUAAUAGUAGAUGUUGCAUGACAUUUGCUUAAAAGGUGCAAUUGCAUCACUACCAGAUGGACCUGCGUUGUAUUAGCUAGUUGGUGAGGUAACGGCUCACCAAGGCAACGAUACAUAGCCGACCUGAGAGGGUGAUCGGCCACACUGGGACUGAGACACGGCCCAGACUCCUACGGGAGGCAGCAGUAGGGAAUCUUCGGCAAUGGACGGAAGUCUGACCGAGCAACGCCGCGUGAGGGAAGAAGGUUUUCGGAUCGUAAAGCUCGGUUGUAAGAGAAGAACGAGUGUGAGAGUGGAAAGUUCACACUGUGACGGUAUCUUACCAGAAAGGGACGGCUAACUACGUG